rnacentral:rRNA from 1 species
AUUGAACGCUGGCGGCAUGCUUUACACAUGCAAGUCGAACGGCAGCGCGGGCUUCGGCCUGGCGGCGAGUUGCGGACGGGUGAGUGAUUCAUCCGAACGUGCCCAGCCUUUGGGGAUAGCCCGGCGAAAGCCGGAUUAAUACCGCAUACGACCUGAUGUUGAAAGCGGGGGACCGAAAGUCCUAGGCGUAUUUGCGCGGCCGAGUGCGGUGUUGCGCGGUGGUUGGGUAACGGCUUACCAAGGCGACGAUCCGUAGCCGGUCUUAGAGGACGACCAGCCACACUGGAACUGAGACACGGCCCAGACUCCUACGGGAGGCAGCAGUGGGGAAUUUUGGACAAUGGGGGAAACCCUGAUCCAGCCAUGCCGCGUGCGGGAAGAAGGCCUUCGGGUUGUAAACCGCUUUUGUUCGGGAAGAACUCCUCUGGGAGAAUACCCCGGGGGGAUGACGGUACCGGAAGAAUAAGCACCGGCUAACUACGUG